rnacentral:misc_RNA from 1 species
GAUGAAGAACGCAGCGAAAUGCGAUAAGUAAUGUGAAUUGCAGAAUUCAGUGAAUCAUCGAAUCUUUGAACGCACAUUGCGCCCGCUAGUAUUCUGGCGGGCAUGCCUGUCCGAGCGUCAUUUCAACCCUCAAGCCCCCGGGCUUGGUGUUGGGGAUCGGCGAGCCUCCGCGCCCGCCGUCCCCUAAAUCUAGUGGCGGUCUCGCUGUAGCUUCCUCUGCGUAGUAGCACAACCUCGCAGUUGGAACGCGGCGGUGGCCAUGCCGUUAAACACCCCACUUCUGAAAGUUGACCUCGGAUCAGGUAGGAAUACCCGCUGAACUUAAGCAUAUCAAUAAGCGGAGGA